UCCUCCCCCUCUCCCCUCCAGUCCACUGGGCUCCUGGCAGGAAGCUCGGACCCAGGGGGACUGCGGUGAGUCAGCAGGA
ensembl:miRNA